rnacentral:lncRNA from 10 species
GACAGAGCGCCCGAUUCGAUUAGUUUGGAGCGCUAGCCUUGGGGCAGACACCGUCUACACUAGGGCGCUUUUGACAGAUAAGGAAACUGAGGCCAGAGAGGGGCCAGAUAAAAAGACAAUGUCUGUGGGGAGAAGUGUUUUUCUGAUAGCCGUCCAGUUCACACAGGCUCCCCUGGGUCUGUCUGUGAGAGGCGCCUGGACACUCCUGCCCCGUCCAGCCACGCGCCUGCCCAGGUUGGUGGCAUUUCCAUUUCUCCCUCAGGCCUGGCGGGCUUCCUCUGAGUCUGAGUUCUAAUUCCCUCCGCUCUAGGGUUGUGUGGCCCUGGAGGAGGCGUCUUGUGUCUCUGAUCCUAUAACUGCGGACGAUACGCGUCCCUGACGGUGCCAGGUUGUUGGGAGUAGAGGCUGGCCACCACCAGGCGGGUGGUGGCCCUGAGCGCAUAACGCUCGCGGGUGUCUUCCCACUGCCUCUGGGGGGCGCGCAUGAGAGGGGCGCUUCCACACACUGCCGCGUGGGGCCUGGGAUGGGAGCGAAGAGGGGCGGUGGAUCCGAAGCGAGGACCGUGCACCCUUUUCCUCUGGGCGCCCGCUGUCUGGGGGUUGCGGAGAGAGCGGGCGCCAGCUGGGCAGAGGCUGGCGCGUCCACACUCUGAGUCUCCCACGCCGGGUCCCAGAGACUUUCCAGCGACAACUGCAGCGGCGAAGCCUGGUCGGCGAGGCGUAGGUGUGGGCAAUUGGG